rnacentral:piRNA from 1 species
UCUCAUGACUGUCUCAAAUCUUGGUGU